GAUGAACGCUGACAGAAUGCUUAACACAUGCAAGUCGACUCGAGUCUUCGGACUUGGGUGGCGCACGGGUGAGUAACGCGUAAAGAACUUGCCUCUUAGACCGGGACAACAUCUGGAAACGGAUGCUAAUACCGGAUAUUAUGGUUUUUUCGCAUGGAGGAAUCAUGAAAGCUAGAUGCGCUAAGAGAGAGCUUUGCGUCCCAUUAGCUAGUUGGUGAGGUAACGGCCCACCAAGGCAAUGAUGGGUAGCCGGCCUGAGAGGGUGAACGGCCACAAGGGGACUGAGACACGGCCCUUACUCCUACGGGAGGCAGCAGUGGGGAAUAUUGGACAAUGGACCACAAGUCUGAUCCAGCAAUUCUGUGUGCACGAUGACGUUUUUCGGAAUGUAAAGUGCUUUCAGUCGGGAAGAAGUCAGUGACGGUACCGACAGAAGAAGCGACGGCUAAAUACGUGCCAGCAGCCGCGGUAAUACGUAUGUCGCAAGCGUUAUCCGGAUUUAUUGGGCGUAAAGCGCGUCUAGGCGGCAAGGAAAGUCUGAUGUGAAAAUGCGGAGCUCAACUCCGUAUGGCGUUGGAAACUGCCUUACUAGAGUACUGGAGAGGUAGGCGGAACUACAAGUGUAGAGGUGAAAUUCGUAGAUAUUUGUAGGAAUGCCGAUAGGGAAGCCAGCCUACUGGACAGAUACUGACGCUAAGCGCGAAAGCGUGGGUAGCAAACAGG
rnacentral:rRNA from 1 species